ACGUAGGGGGCAAGCGUUAUCCGGAUUUACUGGGUGUAAAGGGAGCGUAGACGGCACAGCAAGUCUGAAGUGAAAUCCCCGGGCUCAACCCGGGAACUGCUUUGGAAACUGUUGGGCUAGAGUGCUGGAGAGGCAAGCGGAAUUCCUAGUGUAGCGGUGAAAUGCGUAGAUAUUAGGAGGAACACCAGUGGCGAAGGCGGCUUGCUGGACAGUAACUGACGUUGAGGCUCGAAAGCGUGGGGAGCAAACAG
rnacentral:rRNA from 1 species